rnacentral:misc_RNA from 1 species
GGUUAAUAGGAGAAGAUGAGAAAAACAGUGUGCUCUGAUGGCAAGUGGGAAUUGAAAUUGGCGAGAGAUCAGUUGAGAAUCUAUUGAGCUGCCGUAAUUGUGUAGGUGGUUAUUAACACCUGCAUUGCAACAGAAUUGUUGUACUGUAGCUGAAUAGUAGAGAUAUAUAGCUAUUGAUGAUUGUAAGAAAUGUUGGAUUUGAUCAUUAAUAUGAAUUCUCUUUAUGGCCUUUCUUCUUUUCUCUGAUCCUUGACCGUCAAAAGGUCAAACACCAUAAUGCCAUUGUUACUUAGUCACUGAUACAUGGCGAGUUUUUCUCCAGCAGAUGUUUCUUGGGAAUAUGAUGAUGAUGAUUUGAAAGCUAGAUUUCCUUAUUCUUCCUCAAGGACGAGGAAUCCUAAGUGGAGGAAUUGAUGGGAGAAGAUGAGAUAAAAGGUACGUUGUGAUGGCAAAUGGGAAUUGCAAUUGGCACGAGAUUUGUUGAGAAUCUAUUGAGCUGUUGUAACUGUGUAGGUGGCUAUUAAUACUUGUAUUGUGACAGAAUUGUUGCCCUGUGUAGGGAUAUAUAACUAUUGAUGAUUGUAACAGAAGUUGGAUUUGAUCAUCACUAUGAAUUCUC